GACGAACGCCGGCGGCGUGCCUAAUACAUGCAAGUAGAACGCACAGUUUAUACCGUAGCUUGCUACACCAUAGACUGUGAGUUGCGAACGGGUGAGUAACGCGUAGGUAACCUGCCUGGUAGCGGGGGAUAACUAUUGGAAACGAUAGCUAAUACCGCAUAAUAUUGAUUAUUGCAUGAUAAUUGAUUGAAAGAUGCUAUUGCAUCACUACCAGAUGGACCUGCGUUGUAUUAGCUAGUAGGUGAGGUAACGGCUCACCUAGGCGACGAUACAUAGCCGACCUGAGAGGGUGAUCGGCCACACUGGGACUGGGACACGGCCCAGACUCCUACGGGAGGCAGCAGUAGGGAAUCUUCGGCAAUGGACGAAAGUCUGACCGAGCAACGCCGCGUGAGUGAAGAAGGUUUUCGGAUCGUAAAGCUCUGUUGUAAGAGAAGAACGGGUGUGAGAGUGGAAAGUUCACACUGUGACGGUAUCUUACCAGAAAGGGACGGCUAACUACGUG
rnacentral:rRNA from 1 species